GCCGCUAUAUGGUAUUGGUAACACUGCAUGAUCCGCUCCGUUCCGCGCUAGCCCACCAGGCUUGGCGGCGGCAGGAUCCACGAGUCGCCAAAGAUGAAGUGGAUGCCGGUGAAGGGCUUGGCCUGGGCGUCGUUGAGCACGAGCGACCAGCCGAUCCGCUUGUGCGGCAGCGCGCCGGGGCCCGAGCACAUGUACUCGCCGUAGUAGAUGCCGCUCUUCUCGGGCCUCUCGAUCCUCCAGCCGUCCCAGCCGACGGGCACCACCUCCUUGCCCAUGGUGGUGUAGGAGUACACCACCCGGGAGGAGUCGCCCCAGGCGCGGCCAAGGUAGAUCUGGCCGGCGCCCGUGCCGGCGAUCCGGCACCGGAGGAAGGAGAAGCCGCUCUCGAUGGCGCCCGCUAUGCUCUUGGUCCGCUGCUGCGCCGUCACCACCGCCACCUGCUUCGUCACCGACAUGAUGGCGCAGUCCUCGUACAGGGACCGCCCGAAGCCGAAGAUGAAGUCCACGCUGCCCUGGAUGUGGCACGACUUGAAGUAGUGCAGGCCCUUGUGGUCGUACAGCGUGUCCUGCCCACCCUCGAUCGUGCAGUCGUAGAAUGCCGCCUUGGUGCCGAACACCCGCAGCGCCACCGCCUGCCCGCCCUCUUGCCCCGGCGCAGCCAUCGGCGCGUGGUUCUACUACGUACGUACGUUCACAGCAUAUAUAUGCGAGUAACGCAACGCAAUGCAUAUAUGCAUCGUCGAUCGAUGGUGAACGAAGAUAGAAACGAUCGACGCACGCACCCUGAAGACGAUGCCGGAGGCCAUGAAGUAGUCCGACUCCACCGCCACCGUGGCACUGCCGACGGUGCCGACGGGCUUGCCGUCCUUGCCGUGGGUCGCCGCCCUGUCGUCCCACAUGAUCACCGGGGGGUUCUUGGGGUUGCCCAAGAACGUGAUGAACGGCUUCGUGUACGGGACCAGCACCUUCUCUCUGCAUGCCAACGCAAUAUGCUGCAUGCAAUUUUUUUUUUAUUAGACAAGAGUAAGUCUUCAUCAAAAUCACCUGUAGGUGGCCGUCCUGAUGUCGAGGAUGACCCUCCUCUUGUUCCCCUCCGGCACGGCCCUGACGGCCUCGUUGAUGGUCCUGAACUUGCCCUUGCCGUCGGGGCUCACCACGUACCGUACCACCAUGCCCUGCGCCACCAGCAGCUGCGGAUCCCACACCUUGCCCGCCGACCCGUACAUGUGCUCAUUGCUCACGUUGCUGUACAGCUCCACGUUCUCGGUCACGAACUCGACGAAGCUGCCAGCACCGCCGUCGACCGCCGGCACCUUUACGUUGGUCCCGCCGCCGUCGAUGGCCACCGAGCUGGACGAGGAUGCAACCGAGACGAAACAUGGUUGCAGCAGGACUAUCGCAACAAGAGCAACGACGACAUGCGGAGGACGACGGCAGUUUUGAUGCCCCAUGGCGACAGAAAGAGAUCAGAGUAGAGUUUCUUCUACACGAUAGUAAUUAUUCCGCUCUAUUUUGGCAAUUAUUGAGCCAAUGGAAUUCUGAGGCAUGCAUUUUGUUCAUAGGUUUGGAGUGAUGAGAAUGGGAGGAUGCAUGCAGGAGGAGCUAGCAUUCAUUUUUGUUGGCCGGUUCUUGUUCAUCCUUGUACAAUUCAGCAUGCAUCGCCUCACCUGCCUCCUGAUUAUUUUUAGCUAUGGCUUCAUUGAGGGAGUAGUAGUAGUCGACUUCUUUUUUUUUGGUUUAUGUGUGUUGAAAAAAAUAAAUGUGAACUUUAUUAUUUGAACAAGGAGGACCAAAGAAGAACAUUUUUUUGAGAG
rnacentral:misc_RNA from 1 species